rnacentral:lncRNA from 1 species
UGGAAAGGGCCAGCUCAAAACAGACAUUUGGUAAUGAAAUAACAAGGCAUCUAUUUAAAGUUACACAAAUACCCUCUAGGGACAAAGCAGUAAUUGUGUGACUUAAAUACUUCUGGGAUUUUAAAAACUAAAGUCAAUCCAAAUGUCUCACUUGUGCUUGUCAGGAUGCAAGAGUGAAUGAUGCAAGCGAAUUUGAGUACACAAACGAGGAGUGAAUCUCAAUUGAGUCAUAUGUGCUGGAGGCAAAAAGACAGGAAGGGUGUCAAUGGAGGAAAAGUGAAGAAGGAAUGUGAUGCAAUAGUGAGGUGAAGGAUAGUCAAAUGGGGAAAAAGGUAGGAAACUAUGGAGAACAUGUAUAAGGGGGCACAGUAAUCAGGCCAAGUAAUGACUGGACAAAAGAGCCAGGUUGGACAUGGAGAAGAGAUUUAAUACAAUAAGCCAGAAACUCUGAGGCAAUGCCAGGGAACACAAGUAAACUUCCAUUCUUCCAAGAGAAACAACUGAUUUCAUUCAUACAACUUGGACAUUUUAACAAAGCUGUAUAACUAGGAUCAGUAAUUUAAUAUCACGGAGCAGGGAAUACAAAUAAAAUUUCCAGACUUUGCUUUGGAUUAGAAGCGUAGGGAGUGCAGACGUAUGCCGAAUAAUGCAGUAGACUGGUAUUGAGGAACAUAUUUACUUAUGAAACAAACUCACUGGCUCAUCAUUUGAGUAGCAUUAGGAUGUAGCGGCAGACUGAUGAUAACACUAGAAAUACAGAUCUGCUCCUAGCCCUUCUCAUUUCACAAACAUGCCCACACAGUGGAAAUCUACACUACGACAGGACUUCGUGUAAGUAAUUCCAUUGACUCCAAUGCAGGGGGAAGAGAUCAAAUGAAAAUCACUUUCUUCAUCUCCCACCCUGAGUUUCAUGUGGUUUUCCCCUCCUGUCCUGAACUGGGGAUGGAUUGGAUGCAGGAGAUGUUAUGUGAAUGUAACUAUGAUGGAUCUACCGCCUACAAUCACAGAAAUGUAAAUGUAGAAUUGUUCUGUAAAUUUAGUAUAAUAUUGUUAUAAUUUAAAAAUAAAAUGGCACAAAGGCAUUCGUAAUCUCAAAUCUUUCUGGAAUCCAUACAAUGGAUCCAUAGUAGUUUUUCUGAUUGAGCACUGGCUACAUUUACUAGCAAUCCUGCUGUACCUUUGUUUUAUAAUUUGUCUUAUGAGACAUUUUCUCCCUGCAGUUUGGAAUAUAUAUUACUUUCACAGUUUCAUUAAUACAGAAGAAAUCCCCUUUAUUACUCUAAUGAAUGGUAGAGGCUUGUUGGUUGUUGCCAGGUUGUAUAAAUUAGCAAGUAAACAUUGUAAAAUAAGGAUAAUAUAUUACAAAAAGAGCAGUUUUUCAUUUAUUUAGACACUUGCAUUACAGAUUCAUUAUUUCUCUUAAUAUUUAAUGAGUUAUUUUGUGCUAAAUGUUUAUUGCAGUUAUUACUAUUAAGUUUGUAUAAUAUUUUUUAUUAAUUAAGUGUUGAUAUUAUGAAACAUUACUAAACUGUAUGCCACUAAAUUAUUGUUAAUCACUAGAAAUCAGUUAGUUUAAAAAUUGAACAAAAAGAUUUCUAAAGUUAAGAUAUGGGCAACUUUCUAAUAAGACACUUUAUCAACAUAUAAUUGUAAUAAAAUUGUUUUAAAGACUAAUAGGAUUGUAAUUAACCAGGUAAUUAUUUAUAUCACACCAUCACAUGGUUCUUCACAAUCUCUGACUAACCACAUCUCUUCAGAAGUAAGGCCUAUUGAAUUCACUGGGGCUUUCUCCCAAGUAAAUGGAGUUAGGACUGCAGCUCAAGUCAUAUUCAUAGUAGGUCCACCCAUAUAAAUAAAUUUCAAGGGGUCUACCCUAAGCUUCUGGGAAAUCAAAGUCUUUGGGUUCUGAGGAGUGUACGGUUGCAAAACAGGAAGGGCCUGUGGCUUAAUUUGAUUCAGCACGGGAAAACUCACAUGGCCUGUACAUGGAAAGGAUUGACAGAUGGAAAACUGUUUCUCAGUUCUGUGGGUAGUGGUACAUGGCCAUUCUUAGUUGGUGGAGCAAUUUGUCUGGUUAAUUCUGAUAAUGAAUGAGACUCUGACAUGCUAACUAGUUAUGGGACCCCUGAGCAGUCAGCGUCCAACUUUUUCAUUCAUAGAAUCACAGAAUUGUAGAGUUGGAAGGGACCUGGGGGUCAUCUAGUUCAAUCCCCUGCAAUGUAGGAAUCUCAUCCAUGACAGGCAACUAGCCAACCUCUGCAUAAAAACCAAUGAAGAAGAGUCCACCACCUUCCAAGGGAUUCUGUUCCCCUGACAGCUUUUACUUUCAGAAAGUUAUUCCUGAUGUUUAGUUGGAAUCUCCUUUUUCGUAAAUUGAAGCCAUUGGUUCGGGUCCUACCUUCAGGAGCAGGAGAAAACAAGCUUGCACCAUCUUUAGAUAUCAUAUCUCCUCUCAGUCUCCUCAUAUCCAGGCCGAACAUACCCAACUCCCUCAACUGUUCCUCAUAAGCCUUGGUUUCCUUAAUCAUCUUGGUUUCUCUCCUCUGCACAUGUUCCAGCUUGUCAGUAUCCUUCUUCAGUUGUGGUGCCCAGAACUGGCCCCAUCUGAGAAUGUCAUUUUGAAUCCCGGUUCUGUCUUCUGCAACAUUAUAACUAUGCCUGCUAGUUUGGUGUCAUAUGCAGAUGUGAUGAGCAUCCCCUCAAUUCCCUCUUAAAAGUCAUUUAUAAAGAUGUUGGACAACAACGGGCCCAGGACAGAAUCCUGUGGCACCCCACUUUGUCACUUUUUCCCAGGAUAAUGAGGAACCAGUAGUUGGCACUCUUUGGGUUCAGUCAGUCAACCAGCGACAAAUCCACCUAACAGUUGCCUUGUCCAGUCCACAUUUUACCAGCUUCUCCACAUGUCUGCGAAGAACACUUACAACCUGAAUUUUAUGGAAUUCAAACUACAAUACAAUAGAAUUCAUUAUAAGAAAUAAAAGAAGACAUACAACAAAUUUAAAAACCAUACAGCAUCCAGAAUAGUACAUUGUGAUUGCUGCAACAGGCAGCAAAAUCAUUAUGUGAUCCACCAAGAACCAUAGCAAUUUCAAGAGGUCCAUGGGCAGGGGGAGUUUGGGAAUCACUGGAAAAGGAGAAUGCUGAACUGAAGAGAUGCACAUAAAGGAAGCAAAAUGGGCUUUUUAAAGCAUACAGUGUAUAGGAAUAUGUGACAUACAAAAGGUUUUGCAACUCUUUGGGAGGAUCAGUGAACGGAAAACAUACAUUGGCAAGUUCAGGUAUUAAAUUCAACACAGUUCUGUUUUGUAGUGCCUGUUUUGUAUUCACAAACCAUGUCCCACGAUUUCAGGUUUUGGGUGGGCUGGUACCUACAUUCUCCCUCCCCCCCUUUCUUUUAUCUAAGAAAAAUUUAGACUUCUCCCCCGCCCGUCUUGAUUACAGUUCCAAACUAGUUUUAAUUAACUGGAAAGAUCUUAUAUACAACUCGCGUGUUUGUCUUUGAUUGGAAUUUGAAAGUAAUUUACUGCAUGGCUUAAAAUCAUUUUCAAGUUUCCUUUUAUUUUUGUCCUUAGAUGAUUCAAACAUUGCUUUGUGUUUGCACUCCAGGAAUGAACGGUGUUUGUAUCUUGCUUGUUAUUAUAAAACAACAUUUGUUCAAAUUUGCUGGCAAUGAAAAAUAAACAACAUUGGAGUGCAGAGCAUGUUGAUUUCCUUAUCUUCAGAAAGGACCAAUAUAUAUUUGAAGGUGAGACUUUGUAGCAUAUACUUUGAAGAAAGGGAUGAAAGAGAAGAAACAGAACUAUUAUUUCAAUUAAAAAACACUUGAUAUUUUCAGACCUGCUACACAUAACUCUAGUAGUACUGUAUAGGAAUGUUGAGUUUCAUUCUAUGUUUUUAACAUAUGGAACAUUCCAUUUUUGUUGGUUUUUAUUUUGGCAUUUGAAAAAUAUACAGAUUCAAAUUGAUGUUGAACAAAUUGAUGUUGGUAAAUAAAUGGAAAACCAAUAAUAGCUGCAUUGACAUGCAACUCUAAGCCACAGUUUGGUGCUAUGUGCCUUGGGUUUAUGUGCUGCACACCCGCCGGUACUGCCAUAAGGACACUGGAAGCUUUUGCUUCAACAAACCAAAUGUAACACUAACCACAGAUUCCGAAAUAACAAGAUAUUGCAGUUAGUUCAUGCACAUUUACACUAGACUGAUUUGGCACUGUGUGUGAACCUGGCUAGUCACAACUUUGAACAUUCAGUUGAAUGCAAUUCUGCUUUCAUACUGUAUGUUAGCCACGUUCACAAGAGGUGCAUUCUGCACUAAAAGGUGCUCUGUCCGUGUGGUUUAUUUGCACUGCCUGUUUAAUGUGUUUUUGUAAGUUAUACCUGUUAUUUUAUAAACUAUUUUUUUCUUCAUAAGUUGGGAAGGAGCCAGGUUCAAUCUCUGACACCUCCAGGUAGGACUGGGAAGGACUCCUGCCUGAAACCCCAGAAGGUCACUGCCAGUUAGGGUUAACAACGCUGCUCUAGAUGGAUUAAUGAUCUGGCUCAGUAUAAGGCAACUUCCUGUGUUUGUGCAUGGUUAUCACAAUGCAGUUUGUCUGGCCCAUGUGCACAGAGUUCCAGACAGUGUUUCUUAAAUCCAUUGUUUGCAGGAACUCUUAUUGUCGUGAUACUUUUGUGGGUAAGCUGAGAGUUUGUGUGAACCCGAAGGCUGACAGGGAGGGUAUGUCAGAAGGAAAAUGAAGUGUUUUUGUAUAUAUAUAAAACUUUGCAUUAAGGUAACUGUUACAUAUAAAACUCUAUUUUAUAUUUAACUGUAUAUUUUUGUAACAUUUUGUUUAAGUUGUCUGUUGUUGCUUCUUUUUUUCGUACGUAGUUGCCAAAUUGUGAAGCAACAGUAGAGGGCACUGUGGCAGGAGAUGGCACAGAUUUCUAACAAGCAUCCACACGAAUACUUAUACAUUUAAAAAUGUAUAUCACAACACAUUUUCUUACUUGAGACAUGCAGAGUCUUAGAUUCAUAUGUACAGUACAGCAAGGUCUUAAUUUCAGGGCUGUAGGUUUGAGCCCUACACUGAGCAAACAGAUUCCUGCAUUGCAGGGAGUUGGACUAGAUGAGCCUUGUGGUCCCUUCUACAGUUCUAUUAUUCUAAGUUAUUUCCAGGUUAAUUCUAUGCUUUGUACAACAGAGGCUGCCUUUUAUUCAUGUUGGAGGAAAUCCAGUUGGAUGGAGCAAUAGCCUUACUCCAAAUAAGGGAAAUUUGUAUUUUCCUAAACCAAUAAUCCUUUACACCUACAAACAUAUUAAGAGAUUCAUGUUCAAGAUGAUUAGAUCAACGGUGGCAAUAUUCUACCUUCCAACUCACCUUGGGGUAAAUUCACACGUGCUUAAUGUGGUGAGUGCAGCUUCAAGUGGGGAUUACUUGUCGGAAACAUCGUUCUCUGAAACUCUCAGAACCUUCCCCUAGUGAUGAACGUGGAAAAAGUAUCUGCUGCUACUCCAUACCUUUCAAUUUCUGUCCAUUUUCAAGUCUCACAAAUUGCACAUAUAUCACCACAUAGACAUAAUAUCAUCACGUGUACUAACAGAGAGCUCAGGACUGAAUUAUAUUUAAAAUUACAUUUAUAUCUCACCUUUCCUCCAAAGAUCGCAAGGUGGUACACAUGGUUCUCCUCCCCAUCCUCCCCAUUUUAUUCUCAACAACCCUGUGACGUAGGGUCGACUGAGAGGCUUGACUGGCUCCCCAAGUCACCCAGUGAGCUUAGUGGAGAUUUGAACUCUGGUCUCCCAGGUCCUAGUCUAACCAUGUUACACCUAUACAGUCAAAACAGAGUUACUGAAAAUGAGGUAUCAGCAUACUUAGGAAACCUUAAGGUGGGGAAACCUAAGUAGGAAAAAAACAAACAAAAAAUCUGCAAAACAGCACAGCCUAAUGAAAAAUGAGUAUUUUCAGUGGACACAGAAUGCACUUGUUGAAGUGACACAAAAAAUCCAGGGGAGAGGGGGAGGAAUGGAAAGGAGGAGUCUGAAGGAAAACCUGGCUAGCUGAUUGGCUGAAAUACUGUUGAGGAACACUCCACUGCAACAUGUUGUUAUAGGUCCCAUUUGCUUUUAUCAUUUGUUAUGCAGUUGUAAAAAUAUCAUUCUCUCCAACACAAUACAUCUAAUCUAAGCAAUGAGCAAUCAGCUAUUAGUUGGGGUACAACUUGUAAUUUGCUUAAUUGCUAAUCAGCCCAACCUUUCAUUUGUAAAGGGCAAUUUUAAUAAGUAGUGCUGAAAGUUAAGGAAUCACUUUACUUGUUUACAUUGGUCCUUGCAUAUCUCUGUAAAUUAGGGAGUGAAUGUUACCUCUGUUUAGGUAACGGUUUAUUAAAUUGUAAAUGAUCAUACCUCCAAAAGGCACCAUUUUUGUAAUAUGUAAACAUACUGUAUUUAAAUGUAAUUGAUUACUUAAGUUAUAGAGCUAAUGAUCAACUAAACAUUUUUAAUUGGAUAGUAGCCCCCAUUAUCACACUUGUGUGAAUCAGCUCUGAGAGAGGCAGUUUCUGGCUGAACUGCUUUUAUUUGGGGGAAACAACCAAGGCAAACAUUCACCCUUUUCUUAGCUCACCUUUCAUAAUUCCACAUACAAUAGGUUUCUUCUCUCUCUAUAUAUCACACAUCUAUGUUAAAAAGAGCUUUACCAGUUCUGCUUUCCCCCCUGGAAUUCUGUAGAGGUGAAGACUAGCCAAUGCUUCUGGGAGAUCAGCAUAUAUUAAAUGUGACCUUAAUCAUUCGCCAAGAGCAUAGAUCUGGGGAGACCCUGGAAGC